rnacentral:tRNA from 1 species
GCGGAUGUGGUGUUAACGACAGCAUGGGGGUCUACCAAACCCACGGUGCGAGUUUGACUCUCGCCAUCCGCUCCA